UUUUUAGUAUAAGUAUAUCCCAUGCAAUAUCUGGGACACACUUGUGCUAAAC
rfam:Pongo abelii chromosome 14, whole genome shotgun sequence.